UCCAGGGUAGCCUAGUGGACAUGGCAUCUGCCCGGUAAGCGGAACACUGUAGGUUCGAUUCCCUUCCCUUCCCUUUGCAU
rnacentral:tRNA from 1 species